ensembl:lncRNA
UUCAUACUUUUGGCAUAAAGGUAAGAAGCAAAGAUCAGAGCCGCUCUUCUCGAGAACCAUGAAAUCUUUUCUCAUUUUUGCCUGUGUCUUUGGACUCUGCUGUGCCGUGCUAGCAGAGGAUGAAGAACUUCGAGAGAAGCGCUCAUCAAGCCGUUCCUCAGAGAGACAGCCUGGAGGCUUCUACAACCCAUACCAAUUUCAGCGUCCCUAUCCCUACCCGUACUUUCCCCCUUACCAGCCCCAGCCUCUGCCACAGCCUUUGCCUCAGCCUCUGCCACCAAACAACAAUGCUCUCCUCAGCCUCUUGCCAUUCAUCUUAGCACAGCUGGCAUCCAACACCCCUGCUCCAGCACCGGCCCCCGCACCUGCACCCGCACCCGCACCCGCCCCGGCCCCUGCACCAGCCCCUGCACCAGCCCCUGCACCUGCACCUGCCCCAGCUCCUGCUCCUGCCCCUGGUGGGAGAUAAGACAUCCAUUAAAACUGAGCAUGUGUCUGAUUGACUUGAUACUCU